GCCAAGAAUCUUCCGCAAUGGGGGAAACCCUGACGGAGCGACGCCGCGUGAGGGAUGAAGGUCUUCGGAUUGUAAACCUCUUUUGUUCGGGAAGAAUAAGGCACGUAGGCAAUGACGUGCCGAUGACGGUACCGAAUGAAUAAGCCCCGGCUAAUUACGUGCCAGCAGCCGCGGUAAUACGUAAGGGGCUAGAGUUGCUCGGAAUUACUGGGCGUAAAGGGCGUGUAGGCGGUCUUGUAAGUCGAAUGUAAAAAACCAGGGCUGAACUCGGGGACUGCGUUCAAAACUGCGAGACUUGAGUCUGGUGGAGGGUAAUGGAAUUCCCGUUGUAGCGGUGAAAUGCGUAGAGUGCGGGAAGAACACCGAAGGCGAAGGCAGUGACCUAUGCCGAGACUGACGCUGAGACGCGAAAGCAUGGGGAUCAAACAGGAUUAGAUACCCCAGUAGUCC
rnacentral:rRNA from 1 species